rnacentral:lncRNA from 1 species
CUGCUGUAGACUUUUAGCUUCUUCAUUUUUUUUUUUCCUUUAAAUAGAACCAAUUAACUCUUACUUGAAUUUUCCAAAUACAUGAGGUUUCACUACCAUUUUGGAGGAAUGGAGCCAGCGUUUUGAUUGUCACACAUAGACUUUCACUAAUGUAUUUUUCCUCAAAGGCAACUAGAUAUUCAUGUUACUAUUGCUUUUCCUUAGAAACAGAAGUCUCCCGAUCAUAAUUACAGGCUUUGAGCAAAGGCAACAGUAGUGAAGAAACCCGGAGCUCUGUAAACAUUACUGAAGAACCAUGCCAAAUAUAUGCAUAAAUUCAGGUGGCUUAUUAUUACAUCUUGAAAGGACUGGAUAUCUGAGCACUGUCUGACAUUACUUUUGACUUCACUGGAGGUAACCUAGAAGGAGAGAGAUGUCUCAGCAGUUUCUUUAUCAAUCGCCACCUUUGGAUUUAGCCUUCUGUGGUCAUUUUGAAUAGCAAGCAUCUGAGACAGCAAAGGUGGGCGCAACUGCCAAAACCACAACCCACGGUCAAAAGGAUCGUCAUCCAUUUGGGGGUGCUCUACGUGUAUGAAGUUAUUUAAUACUUAUAACAACUUUAUGAGAUGGAAUGAUCCAUUUUACCUGCAGAGAGUGCAAGGAUCAAGGAAAGGUUUGCGGCACUCUUGAAUUGAGCAAGAUCAUCAACACCAUUUUACUAACAGCAUGUGCUUACUUGGUGUCUCUGUGUCAUAUUUUAGUAAUUCUUGCAAUAUUUCAAACUUUUUCUAUAUUAUUGUAUCUGCUAUAGUUAUUUGUGAUAAGUGGCCUUCGAUGUUACUAUUGUAAUUGUUUUGUGGCAUCUCAAACUGUAUCCCUAAAAGAUGGCAAAUUUAAUCAAUAAAUGUGUGUCUUCUGACUGCUCUACCAACCAGCCAUUAUUCAAUCUCUUUCCCUGCCUUCAGGCCUCCCUAUUCUCUGUAUUGAAAUUAGGCCUCUAAGUGUUCAAGUGCAAGGAAGAGUCACACAGCUCUCACUUUAAAUCAACCUUGUCCAACCCACAGCCUGUGGGCUGCAUGCAGCCC